UUCCAACACAAACUACACCACUUCCGUAUGGUUAAACUGUUUUAUGAGGAUUAAAACAACAACCUGAUGUUUAGAGUGCCGAAAGUUUGGGAGAAAACAAGUCAUCGGCAGUAAACAUCAUAGCCAGGACCCGUAAUAGACCAGCUGAUUUAUUUGUGUAGGGGCCGGAACGAAGCGAUCGAUGUUUCUCUCCUCAUGGUCAUUCAUGCCGUUCCCUUUGGAAUUUUUGGGAACUACGACGAAAGAUGCCGCAGCAAGAUCGAUAACUCCUCAUUAAAAUUCUAAUGGAUUCAAAUGAAAACGGAGCGCACAGCAAGACACGCACUAGUCAUUUCUCAACCCCCUAUUGUUAUCAUUACCAGCAUCAUCUGUCGUAUAAUCAUUAUUAAAAACAAAUUAUUGGUAAGCAUAAUCAAUAUAGGCAGUCCAAUUAAAGAGUUCGCAAACUAAAUGCCUGCCUACUAAUUUGACCCGAUAAAUUCGUGUUUUUCGGUUGUUUAAACAUUCCGUGGUUUAAUUGUGCUCUACAAAGGACUUGUAAGACGAUCGGUACACGUCUCUAUCCAAGCUACCUUUUUCUGCUUACUCCAUCACGCCAUUUAUGACCUUUAUUCGACUGAAUCAAUCAACAAUGUCUUUGGUGAUCAAUGACCGGAAUGUGAUUGACCUUGCGCCACCAACCGAGAGAGUCGGCUGUAUAAAAACGAACGAUGGUAGAAAGUCGUUCACUGUGCAACCCAAAAAAGGAAUCGAACACGCAUUAGGCUGCUGUACACACAAGGAGAGCUUUUAGAAUUUCUUCUUCUGGCGGAAACAUGUUAGAGCCCAUCGCGUGCAGCUCAAAGUGGGAAAGCCUUGGUAGAGUGCUGGCUGUACACUCUAUAAAAAGGGUGAUACCUAUCGUGUGUGUGAAAACAAAUACUCUCCCGACAGCAACAUCGUAAGUAGCUGGCGCUUUUAGAUUUCGGCUUUCAACAGCGGGCGAACAUGGCCGGCUUCUGUGCAAUUGUUUUAAUAGUUUUGCCUGGCUGGACGGCUGGCGUGAUUGCUGCCAACCUAAGGAGUUAUCGACCAACUUUAUCCGCAGAAGAGCAAAUGGAGCUUGUGGCAGAAAAUUUUGUCCUUAUCGGAUUUCCUGAUAACGAACCCACGCCAGUUGAUUUCCAAGCAAAAGGAGACACGACUAUCAUCGAUGGAGGCCCAGUUUUCACGACGAGGAUUUCGUGGGAUGUUGAAAUCGUGAACGUGAGUGACGGAAUGGAUUCGACCACUGGAAACUUCGAGGCACCAAAUCCUGGAACUUAUUUUUUCGAGCCGAGUCGAGAUUAACUAGCGGAGACCAAGAAAUCAAAGAAACGUUUGCAAUAGAUGCUACGCUUCGUUUCAAAAAGGGAGAUGUAGCGACUGGUAGUGACAAGAUAAAUAGUAAAAUAGAAUUGCGCUUUAUUUUUCGAUGGUGAAAUUCAUCUACAACUGAAUGGCCGACUCCUACAGGAAGAAUUUACCCAUGAUUUACUGCAAUUUGAAUGGAAAUGUAUUUUGUAUUUUUGUUCCAUAUUAUUUCAAUACAAGUCUAUUUCUAUUCUUUAUA
rnacentral:lncRNA from 1 species